AUGGUGCGGACGACGGUGCAAGAGCUGGCGGCGGCCGUCGAGGAGCCGCCGCGACAGUACGUGGUGGCGCACGAGCAAGACCAGGACCUGCUGGCCGCUGAUGAGAUGCCGGAGCCCAUCCUUCUCAUCGAUCUUAGCCGGCUGACUACGGCCGACGCCGCCGACGAGGCCGACAAGCUCCGGGCGGCUCUCCAGACCUGGGGCCUCUUCCUGGUGACCAACCAUGGAAUCGAGGAGUCUCUCAUGGAUGCCAUGAUGAGUGCGUCGAGGGAAUUCUUCCGGCAACCGUCCGGAGAGAAGCAGAAAUGCAGCAACCUGAUAGACGACGGCGGCAAGCACUCUGAGGUGGAAGGGUAUGGAAAUGACAAGGUGGUAAACCAGGAUGAGAGCCUCAGCUGGAACGACCGGCUGCAUUUGAGAGUGGAGCCAGAAGAUGAGAGGAAUUUCACCAAGUGGCCCACUCACCCGGAAUCUUUCAGGGAUGUGCUACUUGAGUACGCAUCAAGAACCAAGAGGAUAAGAGACGUGGUCUUUCGAACAAUAGCCAAGCUCCUGGACCUUGAUGAGGAUUACUUCCUCAACCAAAUGUCAAACAAGGAUCCCGGGUUUGCUAGGUUCAACUACUACCCUCCGUGUCCGCGACCUGACCUGGUAUUAGGCAUGAGGCCUCACUCUGAUGCUGGUCUCCUUACCAUCCUUUUUGUCGACCGCGACGUCGGUGGCUUGCAAGUUGAGAGAGAUGGGAAAUGGUACAAUGUUCCGGCCAAGCCUUAUUCGUUGGUGAUCAACUUGGCUGACUGCAUGGAGAUAAUGUGCAACGGAAUCUUUAGGAGCCCGGUUCACAGGGUGGUGACGAAUGCCGAGAAAGAGAGGCUUUCACUGGCCGUGUUUUAUGCUGUGGAUGGAGAAACGGUGCUGGAGCCAGCGCCUGGUUUGCUGGAUGACGAGCGACCGCCAAGAUAUGGGAAAUUCAAGGCCAAGGAUUUCGGUCUUUCUUUCGACUGA
rnacentral:rRNA from 1 species